rnacentral:rRNA from 1 species
GAUGAACGCUGGCGGCGUGCUUAACACAUGCAAGUCGAACGAAGCACUUUAUUUGAUUUCCUUCGGGACUGAUUAUUUUGUGACUGAGUGGCGGACGGGUGAGUAACGCGUGGGUAACCUGCCUUGUACAGGGGGAUAACAGUCGGAAACGGCUGCUAAUACCGCAUAAGCGCACAGCAUCGCAUGAUGCAGUGUGAAAAACUCCGGUGGUAUAAGAUGGACCCGCGUUGGAUUAGCUAGUUGGUGAGGUAACGGCCCACCAAGGCGACGAUCCAUAGCCGACCUGAGAGGGUGACCGGCCACAUUGGGACUGAGACACGGCCCAAACUCCUACGGGAGGCAGCAGUGGGGAAUAUUGCACAAUGGGCGAAAGCCUGAUGCAGCGACGCCGCGUGAGCGAAGAAGUAUUUCGGUAUGUAAAGCUCUAUCAGCAGGGAAGAUAAUGACGGUACCUGACUAAGAAGCACCGGCUAAAUACGUG